rnacentral:rRNA from 1 species
UACGAAGGGGGCUAGCGUUGUUCGGAUUUACUGGGCGUAAAGCGCACGUAGGCGGAUUGUUAAGUCAGGGGUGAAAUCCUGGAGCUCAACUCCAGAACUGCCUUUGAUACUGGCAAUCUUGAGUCCGGAAGAGGUGAGUGGAACUCCUAGUGUAGAGGUGGAAUUCGUAGAUAUUAGGAAGAACACCAGUGGCGAAGGCGGCUCACUGGCCCGGUACUGACGCUGAUGUGCGAAAGCGUGGGGAGCAAACAGGGAU